GACGAACGCUGGCGGCGUGCUUAACACAUGCAAGUCGAACGGAAAGGCCCUGCUUGCAGGGUACUCGAGUGGCGAACGGGUGAGUAACACGUGGGUGAUCUGCCCUGCACUUCGGGAUAAGCCUGGGAAGCUGGGUCUAAUACCGGAUAUGACCUUCCAUGUAGUGUGGGGGGUGGAAAGAUUUAUCGGUGUGGGAUGAGCCCGCGGCCUAUCAGCUUGUUGGUGGGGUAAUGGCCUACCAAGGCGUCGACGGGUAGCCGGCCUGAGAGGGUGGACGGCCACAUUGGGACUGAGAUACGGCCCAGACUCCUACGGGAGGCAGCAGUGGGGAAUAUUGCACAAUGGGCGGAAGCCUUAUGCAGCGACGCCGCGUGGGGGAUGACGGCCUUCGGGUUGUAAACCUCUUUCGACAGGGACGAAGCUUCGGUGACGGUACCUGUAUAAGAAGCACCGGCUAACUACGUG
rnacentral:rRNA from 1 species